rnacentral:rRNA from 1 species
ACGGAAGGCAGCAGUGGGGAAUAUUGCACAAUGGGGGAAACCCUGAUGCAGCGACGCCGCGUGAAGGAAGAAGUAUCUCGGUAUGUAAACUUCUAUCAGCAGGGAAGAUAAUGACGGUACCUGACUAAGAAGCCCCGGCUAACUACGUGCCAGCAGCCGCGGUAAUACGUAGGGGGCAAGCGUUAUCCGGAUUUACUGGGUGUAAAGGGAGCGUAGACGGACCGGCAAGUCUGAUGUGAAAGGCGGGGGCUCAACUCCUGGACUGCAUUGGAAACUGUCGGUCUUGAGUGCCGGAGGGGUAAGCGGAAUUCCUAGUGUAGCGGUGAAAUGCGUAGAUAUUAGGAAGAACACCAGUGGCGAAGGCGGUUAGCUGGACAAUAACUGACGCUGAGGCGCGAAAGCGUGGGUAGCAAACAGGAUUAGAUACCCUGGUA